rnacentral:rRNA from 1 species
CCUACGGGUGGCAGCAGUGAGGAAUAUUGGUCAAUGGACGAGAGUCUGAACCAGCCAAGUAGCGUGAAGGAUGACUGCUCUAUGGGUUGUAAACUUCUUUUAUAUGGGAAUAAAACGUUCCACGUGUGGGAUUUUGUAUGUACCAUAUGAAUAAGGAUCGGCUAACUCCGUGCCAGCAGCCGCGGUAAUACGGAGGAUCCGAGCGUUAUCCGGAUUUAUUGGGUUUAAAGGGAGCGUAGGUGGAUUGUUAAGUCAGUUGUGAAAGUUUGCGGCUCAACCGUAGAAUUGCAGUUGAAACUGGCAGUCUUGAGUACAGUAGAGGUGAGCGGAAUUCGUGGUGUAGCGGUGAAAUGCUUAGAUAUCACGAAGAACUCCGAUUGCGAAGGCAGUUCACUGGACUGCAACUGACACUGAGGCUCGAAAGUGUGGGUAUCAAACAGGAUUAGAUACCCGUGUAGUC